CGAACGGGUGAGUAACGCGUGAGGAACCUGCCUCAAAGAGGGGGACAACAGUUGGAAACGACUGCUAAUACCGCAUAAGCCCACGGGUCGGCAUCGACCAGAGGGAAAAAGGAGCAAUCCGCUUUGAGAUGGUCUCGCGUCCGAUUAGCUAGUUGGUGAGGUAAUGGCCCACCAAGGCGACGAUCGGUAGCCGGACUGAGAGGUUGAACGGCCACAUUGGGACUGAGACACGGCCCAGACUCCUACGGGAGGCAGCAUG
rnacentral:rRNA from 1 species